GUCUUUGUAGAACAAUGGGUAGCUCGUAGGACUUCUAAUCCAAUGGUCGUGGGUUCGAAUCCUACCUGGGAUA